AACAACUGGUUAGGAUGCUACUGUUGCUGCCUCCAUUAUAGGACACUCAUUUUCACUUGUUUCUAUUAUAGGAACACACUGCUGAACUCUUGACUUUUUUGUUGCCACCAUGAUUAACAUCUGGCUGUGCAUUGCUUCCUCAAGGCAUUGGAGAGGAUUGGGUUGGACCAUCCUGAGCACUUUGCGGCUUGAUAAAUGGCAUCCUUGGAUGUGCCCCUGCCUUUGACACCACUUGUCCCCACCCUGUGCACCAACAAAGGGGUUAGCUGGAAGGCUUACAAUCUCUGACCAAGGUUGUGGAUAGAUCAAUAUGAGGUAGGCAUAGGCUGACCCUAUGUGUCUCAGUGAUUUAACUGUUUUGUUGUGCAAUCUGCUGAACAAGCCUGGUAACAA
rnacentral:lncRNA from 1 species